ensembl:lncRNA
GUUAUGAUGUCAUCACACAGAUGAAACUUAGAAACAUAUGUAUUAAACAAAUACAAUUUUGCAUUUGAGAUAAUUGAGAUUCCGUAGCAGUAGUGCUAGGAAUGUUGGGAAAUGUUUUAGGUGCCAGAUCGGCAGAAGUUAAAAAAGCAGUAAAGUUGUGACUAGAAGUCAAACGUGCCAUCUCACGUGUAUUCUUUUAAUGGAUACAUUACAGAAAAAUUGUCGACGAGGAUAAAAGUUUUGUUUAAAUUAUGGCGGUUAUAGGAAAUAUAAGAGAGUUUGUUCCUAAAGCAGUCGUGGUCGGCUUAUAUUGAAUGGCUGGAGCAGUUCUUCGGGGCGAACGACAUAAGCCAGGAGAAGCAGGUUGUGACCCUGUUGAGUGUGAUGGGAUCAACUACCUACGGUUUACUGAGGAACUUGGUACAACCAGAGAAGCAGAAAGAAAAGUCUUACAAAGACAUUGUAGACACUUUAAAGAAUCAUUUUGAGCCAAAGCCUUUGCUGAUUGUGGCAAGAUUCAGUUUUAAUCAUUGCAAUCAAAAAGCUGGUGAGAUGGUGACAGAAUAUGCUGCCGAGUUAAAACAGUGAGAUGUGAGUUGUGAAUUUGGGGCAACGCUGGACGAAGCAUUGCGCGACUGGUUCAUGAGUGGAAUCCGCAAUGAAGCCUGCCAACGACGACUGUUGUCAGAAUCUAAUCUGACGUUUGCACAUGCAUUUGAGAUCACAUUGAGUAUGGAGACAGCGGAGAAAGACAUGCAGCAUGCAGUAGGGGUUCAUAAAGUGGAUGCGCGGGCAGCACGACAUUCUGAUCAGAGAGGAAAGAAGUGCUAUAGAUGUCACGGCAAAAUCACAGCCCUCAUGUUUGUCAUUUCAAGGAUGCAAAAUGCCAUAACUGUGGGAAAACUGGCCACAUCAAAAGAGCUUGCAGAGGAAAAAUGGAAGCUGGGAAAGGUAAACGUUAUGCUGAGAAAAGUGGAGGCAGAGAGAGCUGAGUUGCCCAUGUUUUCUCUGUUAAGUGAUGAGAACAGCAAAAAGUCAUUCACAGAGACAUUUAAAGUAAAUGGCAAAGAAAUUAUGAUGGAAAUUGACAAGGGUGCUGCCCUGAGUAUCAUAUCUGAGAAACUAUUCCAAGCUGCGUUCUCAAAAGAGCCACUAGAGGUAGCAGGAGUCAAGCUUAAAACGUAUACUGGAGAGAUUAUGCCUGUGUUGGGACAGUUUCAAGCUAAUGUGAGCUACGAAAAACAAAGUGAACUGCUACCCUUGAUAGUAGUAAAAGGGGAGGGGCCAGCUCUGUGUGCCAUAAAUUGGCUACAAAAGCUCAGCUUGAAUUGGAAAAAAAUUAAACAUGUCAGUCAAGUGGAUCAAACAAAGUCUCUUGAAGAGGUGCUGGAUUCAUGCUUGGAGAAGUUCAAAGAUGAACUAGGCACACCCCUUGGGGUUAAGGCAAAAUCACUGGUGAAUCCUGAAAUUCCUCCACGCUUUUAUAAAUUUUGCCCACUGCCUUUUUCCAUUAAAGGCAAAGUUGGUGCGGAACUUGACCGGCUGGAGAAGGCUGGAAUUAUCAGACCUGUAAAACACAGUGAGUGGGCAGCACCCAUUGCGCCAAUGGUAAAAAAGGAACAAAACCAUAAGACUGUGUGGGGACUAUAAAUUAAUCGUGAAUCAAGCAGCUACUACAGAGACUUACCCACUACCGCGGAUUGAGGAGUUGAUGGCUAAACUGAGUGGAGGAACUGUGUUUUCUAAGAUUGACCUGGCUUCAGCAUACCAGCAGGUUCUUUUUGAUAAAUGACAAAUUAAAAUUUUCUGGUACACUAAUAGCUGAACACUUCAAACAAGCUCCCUAGAAUGCAGAUUGUGUGGCACCACGUAUCACAUGCAGAGACAAGGUGUUAUCCAAAGUCCUGAAAUAUGUCAUUGAGGGUUGGCCAACAGAUGUGGAUUAAAGCCCGAAAGCUUACCAGUCACACAGAUAUGAAUUGUCUGCAGAGAGAGGAUGUGUGCUCUGGGGCACCAGGGUGACAAUUCCUGAUAGACUGAGAAAAAGUGUGCUGAAUGAAUAGCAUGUACUAUCUGCAGUUCCUACACUGUACUGUACUGUCAUGUACUAUGUACUAUCAAGGGAUAGUAAAGAUGGAACCUCAUGCCCACAGGUACAGUAUGUGUGGUGCCCUAAAGUGGAUGCAGAUCUGGAGCAGGUUAGCAGAGCCUGUAAGAUGGAACAAAAAAACACCACGUCAGGUUCCUUUACACCCAUGGGAUUUUCCUGGUCAGAACUGGAAAAGACUGCACAUAGAUUUUGCUGGUCCUUUUCUAGGACACACAUUUAUGAUACUUGUGGAUGCAUAUUCGAAGUGAUUGGAGGUGUUUAGAAUGCCUAACCUCACCUCACAAGCUACAAUCACAAGACUGAGGAGGUUGUUUGCAGCAUACAGACUUCCAGAGCACAUUGUCAGAGACAAUGGAAUGGAAGUUACAUCUGAGGAGUUUAAAACCUUCAUGCAGCAAAAUGGAAUCCUGCAUUCAACGAGUGCUCUUGGUCAUCCUGCUACCAAUGGCCUUGCAGAAAGCUUGGGAGUGGCCCUGUCCAGAGGUCAUGGCAAAUAUUUCUUCAGAGGAAAUAUCUCUAUUGAAGAAGGUCACCAUAGCCACCAGAUCCAGUCUGUAUCCAGAUCAGAUGGUCACUGCAGUCACCCGGAUCCAGUACGUAUCCAGCCCAGAUGGUGGAUCAGCACCUAGAAAGGACCUCUACAGCCCUGAAAGACAGCAGAGACCAGGACAACUAGAGCCCCAGAGACAGAUCCCCUGUAAAGACCUUGUCUCAGACGACCACCUGGACAAGACCACAGGAAACAGAUGAUUCUUCUGCACAAUCUGACUUUGCUGCAGCCUGGAAUUGAACUGCUGGUUUCAUCUGGUCAGAGAAGAACUGGCCCCCCGACUGAGCCUGGUUUCUCUCAAGGUUUUUUCUCCAUUCUGUCACCGAUGGAGUUUUGGUUUCUUGCCGCUGUCGCCUCUGGCUUGCUUAGUUGGGGACACUUCAUUUACAGCGAUAUCGUUGACUUGACUGUGAAUUAUUGCACAGAUAUGAUUUAAACUGAACUGAGCAGCAUGAUGACAUCACUGAAUUCAAUGAUGAACUGCCUUUAACUGUCAUUUUGCAUUAUUGCCACACUGUUUUCCUAAUUAAUGUUGUUCAGUUGCUUUGACGCAAUCUUUUUUGUUUAAAGCGCUAUAUAAAUAAAGGUGACUUGUAAUGGCUGUUAUUUCAAAUAAAUGUCAUUGUUUAUAAUAAAAUAA